CCCCCCCCCCCCCCGAUUUUGCCGUGCUCCUCUGCUGCUCAUCCGCUCCCCUGCCUGCUUCGCACAAUCGCGCACCGUCUGACGGUGGCCGUCGUGCCUGCGGACGCCGCGCGCGCACCACCUCUCCGCUCUCCCCAUCCAUCACCCAGCGCCUUCGCGCGAUUGCGCUUGCAACUCCGGGUGGCCGCGCGCACGCGAGCCCGCGCCGGGCGCCUCGAUGCCGCUGCCGGGCUGGAACCCGCUGGCGCCCGUCCUCCAGACCGUCGCCGCCUUCUCCCGCCAUCUCCUCAUCGCCCCGGACGCUGGCCCUGACGACCACCGCCUCCGCCCGCUCCUCUCCCUCUCCCUCUCCCCGCCGCCGCCCCCAUCGCCGCCGCCGGAGAUAGCGAAGGAGAAGGAUGCCAAGGCGGCGCCGCUGACGAAGGAGGAGGUCGGGCGGGCCACGUGGAUGCUGCUCCACACCAUUGCAGCGCAGUUCCCUGAUGAACCAACGAGGCAGCAAAAACGAGAUGCAAAGGAGCUGAUGCAUAUAAUCUCAAGACUAUAUCCUUGCAAAGAAUGUGCUGAACACUUCAAGGAAGUUUUGAAAGCAAACCCUGUUCAGGCAGGAUCUCAGGCUGAAUUCUCCCAGUGGUUAUGUUAUGUGCACAACGUGGUAAAUCGAAGAAUCAUAGGAAAAAUAAGGUCUCAGGGCCAAAAGGAGGAAAAUUGAUGCGCUAUACCUAUUUGGCACCCUUUUACUCCUACGGUCCUACCAUUAGGGCCUUGGAAAACCAAUAUUUCCCUGCCAAAGAGUAACUGCACGAUGGGGUAAGCUGGAUUGUCCUGAACGCUCGUGUGACCUAGAAGGCACCAGCGACAUCAUGGCAAGUUGAUGACGCAAACAAGAAAUCCUCUGGAAUAUAUACUUUGAUGAGGAUUCUUAAACAAACUAAUGUAUGAGCACUACUACCAGGGAGAUGAGGAAAUAGAAUUCAGGGCGCCAUGCCGAGUUGCCGACAUUUUAGAGCCUCUACCAGAAUUUUUGUAUCCUUGUCAGUGAUAGUAGUAGUAGAGUACGUUGGAUAUGAAUCAGGCGAUGUUUGUACUUUGUACAGUUUUGCCAUGUUAACAGUAAUCGGAUUCCUGCAUUUAUUUUUGGCUAGGUUCUGUGUACUAGUAUGUUCCCUAGUCUGAAGUCUGCUUCUUCUA